rnacentral:lncRNA from 10 species
GAGGCCCCGCAGCCAGGACCUGCCAGCCCAGAGCCCGCUCACCGUGAGCGGUUGAAUGAAUCAACGCACGCAGGGACAAACCUGUGGGCGCGAAUGCUCAGCCUCAGGAAACCUGUGCGCGGAAAUGCUCAGCCUCGGGAAACCUGUGCGCGCGAAAGCUCAGCCUCGGGAAACCUCUUCAGCCUUCAGCCCUCUUCUUCCUGCCGAGGCGAGGGGGCUGCUGGGAGGUUUUGGUCCUGCAGACUCGAGAGUCGCUGGGAGGAGAGGAAAGUAUGUCGGCCCCAGGUCCCGGGCUCUGCUCCUGCGCUCUGGCCUCCGGUUUCUCUGGGCGUAGGAGAGGAGGGCAGGGAUCCUGUGAAUAAAAUGGCGCAGACGUGCUUGUGCGGCUUUCCUGCUGGAGUCCAUGAGCGUCUCGAGGAUUUGCAUCCAUGUGCUCAUAAGCAAUGGGAGUGAAUGAAGAGCCAGGCCCAGCAACAGAGGGGAGCCUGCCCACAUGGAGCAAAA